GACGAACGCUGGCGGCGUGCUUAACACAUGCAAGUCGAACGGAGUGGCGAACGGGUGAGUAACACGUGGGUGACCUGCCCUGCACUUCGGGAUAAGCCUGGGAAACUGGGUCUAAUACCGGAUAGUGUGGGAUGGGCCCGCGGCCUAUCAGCUUGUUGGUGGGGUAAUGGCCUACCAAGGCGGCGACGGGUAGCCGGCCUGAGAGGGGGGACGGCCACAUUGGGACUGAGACACGGGCCAGACUCGUCCGGAAGGCAGCAGUGAGGAAUAUUGCGCAAUGGGCGGAAGCCUGAUGCAGCGACGCCGCGUGGGGGGUGUCGUCCUACGGGUUGUAAACUCCGUUAACCAUCGGCGCUGUAGUUGGACAAGCAACACCGGCUAACUACGUGCCAGCCGCCGCGGUUCUUC
rnacentral:rRNA from 1 species